AUAAUCCAUUAAGGAUUUUAGUAUUCAGUAAUGAUAGGAAAAACAAUGUAAUACUCGUACUGCUGACUUGUUUUAUUUUAUUAUCGAUUGUUUUUCACACUUCUAUCGACCGAUAAGAACAAGAAGAAAGAAGAUAAAAUGUUUUAACACAUUGGACAUUUAUUUCUUACGUAAAAACUCACCUGGACACGUGCUUCCGACAAACUGAUCCUCAGCGCGACCUCCUCCCUAAGGAAAACAUCGGGAUAAUGCGUCUUUUGAAAAAGUGCUUCGAGUUCUUGCAACUGUUGCGGACUAAACGUGGUGCGAUUUCUUCUUUGUCGUCUUCGACCAAACAUGUAUUCAGUGAGCAAAUCACCCGGCAGGGGUGAUAAAUAUGGUCCAGCCAUUUUAUCUCAAUUUUGAUUAUUUUAUGAGUUUACUUUAACGCUGUUAAGUUCAUACUGUGAAUCUGAAUUGCAUGUUGUUAUAGAAAUUAAA